rnacentral:rRNA from 1 species
UACGGGGGGGGCAAGCGUUGUUCGGAAUUACUGGGCGUAAAGGGCUCGUAGGCGGCCAACUAAGUCGGACGUGAAAUCCCUCGGCUCAACCGGGGAACUGCGUCCGAUACUGGAUGGCUUGAAUCCGGGAGAGGGAUGCGGAAUUCCAGGUGUAGCGGUGAAAUGCGCAGAUAUCAGGAGGAACACCGGUGGCGAAGGCGGAUCUCUGGGCCUUACCUGACGCUCAGGUGCGAAAGCUAGGGGAGCGAACAGG